rnacentral:snRNA from 1 species
GGAUGUGAAGGUGAUCUAUUUGGCGGCAAAUCUGUCACUUCAUUGCUCUACAGAGUUGAUCUGGCUGGCUAGGUGGGUGUCCCCUGCCUUACUCACUGCUCCAUGUAUAUCUUUCCAAAGUUGUAAAACUAGUCAAAGAGGAGGGCCUUUCCCAAACAGAAACUGCCAGUUCUUCAGUCAGAGUAUGAGUCACUGGGUACCUCUACUAGAACCUCCAAACAAGCUGGUCUGCUUAUCAGUUUGGACAUGAAUGGCAUUAGCUGAUAGCUUUUUCAGAAUCCAUUCCUGUAU